AGUGAAUAUGCCUGCAGAACCCUGAGAUGGCAUUUUCCCCCCAUACCACACUUUUCAGCAUAAUGCAUCUUUAAUAUCAUUUUAUUGUUUUUAAAUUAUUUUUAUUAUAAGUUGUUCCACGGCUGUCGGUGUGCCAAAUAUUAUGUUCCCUGAAAUCCAGCUGCUUUGUAACCCAUGCACAGUGGCUUCCAUUUUAGCACAGCACCAGAUCAUGCAUGUCUCUCCUGGAUUACCUGAGACUAAUGGAAGCCACGAACCUGCCUGCAGUUUUGUUUUGCCUUUUUCC